rnacentral:lncRNA from 1 species
AGCUCUAGUCCAGAGGAGAAAAGAAUAAUAAAUAUCACACUAAACACCAUGGAAUACUUCUCAAGUCACCAAAGAGAUGGAACUGGACAGAAUACUUCUGUCCAUAAGGCCCUUAGAAGCCUCCUAAGCGAAAUACCAGUGAGGACCUCCCCAGCAGCUGCUGUCUCUCCUGCCAGAGGCAUCUGGCUUAGAGCAGUGUGCGGUCGGCCAGCAAAGGGAUGACUCAAUGCUUGGACCUUCCUGACCUUCCCCUUACAGUGUGGAAAGAAGAAACCCUCUGGUGGCCUUGGCCCGGGAAUAUGGCGGUUUCAAGUGCAAUGCUGUACUGAAAUGGUACCAGAAGAAGACAGAAGGUUACAUGUCUCCCUCUGAUGCCGAGCCAAAGCUGGACCCUCUGCCUC